GACGAACGCUGGCGGCGUGCUUAACACAUGCAAGUCGAACGGAAAGGCCCCCACUUUUUUGGUGGGGGUGCUCGAGUGGCGAACGGGUGAGUAACACGUGGGUGAUCUGCCCUGUACUUCGGGAUAAGCUUGGGAAACUGGGUCUAAUACCGGAUAGGACCAUGGUUUAGUGUCUCAUGGUGGAAAGAUUAUUGUUUUGGUGCAGGAUGAGCUCGCGGCCUAUCAGCUUGUUGGUGGGGUAAUGGCCUACCAAGGCGUCGGCGGGUAGCCGGCCUGAGAGGGUGGACGGCCACAUUGGGACUGAGAUACGGCCCAGACUCCUACGGGAGGCAGCAGUGGGGAAUAUUGCACAAUGGGCGCAAGCCUGAUGCAGCGACGCCGCGUGGGGGAUGACGGCCUUCGGGUUGUAAACUCCUUUCGUUAGGGACGAAGCCACACCUUUUUUUGGGUGGGGACGGUACUUGGUAAGA
rnacentral:rRNA from 1 species